UUAGUUGCGGUUUUUUGCGCAAAGGAUGCACGAGUAAACAAUGCAAAACAAUAAAGAAUACUGUUUAUCAUGUAAAAUAACAUCAAUAUGUUGUUUGACAGGGAUAGGUACAUAUCUUAUUUACCAUGGUAGACAACCACUUCAAAAACAUAAAUUCUCGCUGAUUUUCCUAGGACUAGGUUGCGUAGGAUUAGGUAUCGGAGAAAUAUUUGAUAAAUCGCCAUUUCGUAAUUAUAAAGAUAUUCAUGAGUAAAUCAGAAAUAAAUAAAUAUAUGUAAUAUAAAUCUUAAUCA